rnacentral:rRNA from 1 species
AGAGUUUGAUCAUGGCUCAGGACGAACGCUGGCGGCGCGCCUAACACAUGCAAGUCGAACGGAGAUUACAGGCGGAAGUUUUCGGAUGGAAGCUUGUAAACUUAGUGGCGGACGGGUGAGUAACACGUGAGCAACCUGCCUAUCAGAGGGGGGAUAAACGAUUGGAAACGAUCGCUAAUACCGCAUGACAUAGCGGAAUCGCAUGGUUCUGUUAUCAAAGAUUUUAUCGCUGAUAGAU